UACGGAGGGGGCUAGCGUUGUUCGGAAUUACUGGGCGUAAAGCGCACGUAGGCGGCUUUGCAAGUUAGAGGUGAAAGCCCGGGGCUCAACUCCGGAAUUGCCUUUAAAACUGCAUCGCUAGAAUUGUGGAGAGGUAAGUGGAAUUCCGAGUGUAGAGGUGAAAUUCGUAGAUAUUCGGAAGAACACCAGUGGCGAAGGCGACUUACUGGACACAUAUUGACGCUGAGGUGCGAAAGCCAGGGGAGCAAACGGG
rnacentral:rRNA from 1 species